GUCCGCGACGCUCGACGCUCAGUGAGACGAGUUUCGCGCCGUGUGUAUGUUGAGAGGGUGUGAGUGUGGUUGGAGUGUGUUUGUGUGUGUAUUACUGCCGCCACUGCUGCUGCUGCUGUGUAGUUGUAACCCAGUUUAAAUCAAUUCAAGUGGUGUUGGGUGUGGAGUAAUUAGCUGGCAAAUCCCAAAGUGGCAUAUAAAGCAUUUGGCUGGCGCCACCCAGAGGUUUCGAAUGCAGGACUGGAGUGAGGAAAAUGCGCCCGGGAUUGAUCACAUCAGCAUUUGAUAGUUGAGACGGUGGCGACCAGUUUGGGCUGUUGGCUCUCUCGUGAUGAUGGCAGAGCCCAGCAGCAAGCCGACGGUUCAGCAACAACAGCAGAUUGUUGCCAACGAAUUGUCGUCGAGCAAGAUAUCAACUUUGGCCGUCCGUGACCGGCUGAAUGCGGCGGCGCCGACUCAACCGCGGACGGUUACAAAUACAGAUUCAGGAGGAGAUAGGCGCAAUGUCCGCGGACCGCGCUGCAUUACUAUCCAGCGUUCCAGCGCUGGAUUCGGAUUUACCUUGCGUCACUUUAUCGUCUACCCGCCCGAUUCUGUUUCCGAUUGCCCCGAGGAAUGGCAACGUGGAAUGUCGGCCGGUCUGCUCGACCCCAUGAUACCGAUGGACACCAUCUUCGUCAAGCAUGUUCGAGAAAACGGACCCGCCGUCAAAGCCGGACUUUCGACUGGUGACCAGGUGGUGAGUGUCAAUGGAGAGUCGGUCAUGUGCAAAUCGUACGCCCAAGUGGUGCAGAUGAUACAGAAAAGUGGACCCAAUUUGCAGCUGGUCGUAAUGCCGAAAGAGCACGACGUUCUCCAGCAGUGUUUUGCUGAUACGGCUCACAACCCGUACACAAACGCCAGACCAGCGACAGUUAUUCCAGCCGCUGGAACUGCGGAAGACCAGGCCGGCAAAAUGGUAAUGGACCCUUUGAAACCCAACAACAUCAUGUCGCACCUGCCACGGCCUAAACCCUAUCAACCGUUCCAGGUGGAAACUAGGAAACCAGCGACAUCCCACACGAGCCCAGCUCCAAAGCCAAACACUGGCGCGCCGCUCGGACGCGUCCUGUCGCCGUUGGUGACGGCCGGAACGACGACGACAACCACAACGACGACGGCCAAUAGCCGAUCAAGCGAAGAUGCAGCCGUUGCGGCCCAGGCCCGUCUCGCCGCGGCGGCCGCGCUCGUGUCCAAGAGCGUGCGCAAAUCGGCUGAUUUCAAUCCUAACGGUGCGGCCGGUUGCCGAGGAAGUCUAGCCGGCGGGCAAGGCGUCGAAUGCUAUCCCGGCUCUGCCACGGGAUUCAAUUCGGCCGCCCAUUCGAAACGAAGUUCCUACGCUGGAACGCCCACCUGUAAGAGCGAGUUUAUUUCCAGCAUUAACGCCCCGGCUGCCACUUUCAGCACUGCGGCGGGUAGCGCUGGUCACGCCCGUUACGCCGGUUCAGAGGGCACGUCCAGCUUUCCCCCCCACAAUCAACAGCAACAACAACAACAACAACAAUUCCACUACCCGAUGCAUCCGAUGGAAAUGGCGACGUUUGCGGCGAUCCACGGCAGCGUGUCGAGCCUGCAGCAACAGAACCUUCGCGAUUCUCCGCUCAAUUCCAGCAAAGGCAGUCUGUACUCGGCCGCGUCGGAAUGCAACGACCAACAGUCGCAUCAACAGGCGCAAGUGAUGACACGCAUCAAGAAGAGUUUCGAACAGAAGGAGGAGUUUCUGAAGAGGCCCGCUCUGCCGUACUGGGUCAACGUUCAAGAGGCUCAGCAAUCGCCGCCCGUCCCCAAAGAAUUUUACGCCCAACCGCAGAAAUUCGCCCGGCCAGUGUGGCCUCCCAUCAGCGCGUCGUUGACCACGUCACUCGACUCGCUGACUUCGGAGGUGACGGCCAUUACGACGCCGUCUCAACAACAAGCUCAGACACAUCCGCUCCAUCACCAUCAUCUGCAUCAGCAUCAGCAUCAGCAUCAGCAUCAGCAUCAUAACAAGGCAUCGUCUUCGGCCGUCACGAAAACAGAAAUCAUCCCGAUGGGCAUCACGUCCAUCGAACCUUGGUCCGUCUCUUUCAGCUCCAAAAGAGCUACGCCUCCUGUCAGCCCGUCUCAGUCGCCGGGCGCGGUGGGCCUCGGCUUGGUGCCCAACACGGUACCCAAACCGUUUUACGGUUCGACCAAUGCCACAACGACGACUACAACCACCACGGUAACCAGUAGCAACAACAACAACACGACUAGUCCGUCUGGCAACAAACAGUUCGUGUCGACGCUGACCCGCAUCCAAGAGAACAUCGCGUCCGAUCCGGCGCCGGAAUCGAAACCGAGUCGGCAGUUGACGUUGAUGCACGCGCCGCUGGCCUCUCCCGAAGAGUUUUUCACGCCGUCGCCCACCAAAGCCGGCCAACAUCCAUUGGCGGCGGCCACGUCGGCUGCCAACGCGCCUGUCGUCGUCAAGCGAACCAAACCGUUUGAAAAUGGCGCCGAAAAGGGCCUUCUGGCCCGUAUCGCUCAACGUGGCAAACAACAACAGGAAGCUGCUGCCGUUGCCUCCGCCGCCGUUGCUGCUGCCGCCGCCGCCUCCGCCGCUGCUGCUGCCGCCGAACGUUCCAAUAAACUAGCGACGGAUUUUCAGCGGGUGCCGAUCGGCGGUUCGGGGAACCGCACCGUCAUCAUUGGCAGUUCGAAUUUACAUUGUCAACCGCCUGCGGUAGAAUUGGAAUUUCCACCCAAUUCAUACGAUGCACAAGUGACGUGGAACGAGGAGGAGCGUAAAAGUCUCGUCUUGAGGCAGCACUCGUACCGUUCCGCCGUCCGUGAUUUCGCAGCUUCUACUAGUCCGCUACUACGGAUUGAUCCGUCGCUGGAUGAGAACUCGAAUACGAGUGCGUCCAGUAGCAUUGUGACGGUCAGUCGCGUUAAAAAGCGACCCUCUCAUUUGAAACUAACCGGCAAUCAUCACAACCUGAACAACCAUCAGCCGUUGGCGCUGCAUCCAACAACGACAACUGGUUGUCCCUCUGCCAAAGCUCCUUGCUUGCAAACUGAUAUCGACGCUGACAUUGUUGCCACCGCCAUGGCCGAUAGGGCCAGAAGUUGUAGCCCAUUAUCUCUGCCACGACCUAGUCCCAUCGCUUCUGAUUUUGAGUUGUCCGUUUUGGAGCGAUUCGACCAGCUCAUGGCUUCUUUAGGUACCUCCUCAGGCUCGAGCAGUAUUAGCAGCAGCGGCAGUGCGACAGUCCAGCAACUCGAAAGCCAGUCGGCUACUAAAAUGGCGACACCGGCAACGACGGCCAGCGUCAAUCGACGCCAAAAGAUUUACGAUGACGACUCUGACCGGGGCAUGAGACGCAUAUCGUAUUUGAAAGCGCAAGCUGGUAACCCGGUUGAUGGUCCGAUGGCCAUCGGCACGGUCACAACAGAAGCCGAGACCGUGGUGACUAGUGGCACGACUACCACCACGACCACCACGACCACCACGUCUACGCCCACCAACAACGAGCACUCAGCCAAAGGUUCGACUUCGUGGGCCGUGGUUAAAGUGGAGACUAAUCUGGUGAUGGUGUCUGUGGUGGAUCGUGUCCAGCCAGCGGCUGGCAUGAUUUCUCGCCUGCGGCAGUAUUUCGAAGACAAAUCCAGGCCUCCUCCUCCUACUCCGCAUCCGCGGAUGGCCACUUCUUCUUCUUCUUCUUCUACUACUACUACUACUACCCUCUUAUCGUCUUCGAUUGUUGCCAACAAAGCGACGUCGCAACCUCCACCGCUGGCCAGUCGGCGUCCGGCGCAUCCGCCGCACAGUAUCCAAAAAUUGCGCUCGCUUUUUGGAGACUCGACAAAAGUGUCUGCUGCCAAAUCGCAACAGCAAGGCGAAUCCAAUUCGAGCGCGGCCGGUGCUCAUCCGCCCAGCCCGUCCGAGACGGAAGGACGCGAAGGAUGGCUCUACGUCAAACAGACAAUCAUCGAUUGUCGGCGAUCCACUGACCGUUCCUGGCGCCAAAUGUGGACGCGGAUACGUUGCGGCACGGUGCAUUUCACAAGAGAUCGUAACGUUGCCUCCUCGUCCGCCUCCACUGCCAACGGCACCGGUAGCAGCAGCAACAACAGUGGCAGCAACAACAGCAGUUUCACUCCGGGCACUGGAGCCGACGAUAUGGUCAUUGACUUGCGAGGAUGCACCGUCGAGGUGGCAGUCUACUACACCAAACGCAAGCACGUGCUGCGUCUUUCCACAUUCAACGGCCUGUGCGAGUACCUAAUGCAAUGCGAAGAUAACAACGAUAUGGUCCUCUGGCUGGACAGUUUCCAACAGGAGCAGACGGCUGCCAAUAAUAGCGACAAGGAAGACGGCCCUGGGUCCAGCUACAGCAGCAGCGAAAUGAUGUUAGUCCGACAGGCUCAGGAAGCUGAUAAUUCGAUGGCUCACGGACGCCGCAUGGGUCGAUUCACUUUGCACCGCAACCGGUCGCCCACUGGACAUUCGCCCGUCUCCAAGACGCGAAAGCCGAGUCUUCCUGGAACCAUCGGCGGCGGUGGCGGUGGCGGCGGCGGCGGUAGUAGCGGCGGAUCUGGCGGUAGCGGCGAUGGCGCGCAUUCCACACCGGCCAAUGUCAACAAACCGACGACGUGGCGACGCAAAGUAGUCCAGCAAUUCAAGAAAAUCCAGGGCAAUUCGCCCAACUCCGCUGGACUUUUCCAUCCGCAGAUGAUACCCGAAGGGGCCACCAUUGGCGUCCCGCUCGAGUUCUGCCCUCGCUCCUCCUUGUCGGAGAGCAUUCCAUUGAUCGUCGAACUUUGCGUCGGCAUCGUCGAAGCUCGCGGAUUGGAGAGCGUCGGCGUUUAUCGAGUGCCGGGCAACAGCGUGGCCGUUAACGCUCUCUCCGACUCGCUCAACCGUGGAUUCGACGGCCUCAAUCAGUCGGAUCCGCGCUGGAAUGACGUCAACGUGAUCUCGUCACUGAUGAAAUCCUUCUUCCGCAAACUGCCCGAUCCGCUGGUGACGUCGGAACUCUACGGCGCUUUGAUCGAAGCCAGCAAGAUCGAACCGGAGCAAGUCCGUUUGAAUUCCAUCAAGCGGCUGGUCGAUGAGCUUCCCGAGCCCCAUUACUCCACGUUGCGCUACCUCGUGGGCCAUUUGUCGCGCGUGGCCGGCAAGAGUAACGUCAACAAGAUGGAAGCUCGUAAUCUAGCCAUCGUCUUUGGACCGACGCUCAUUCGGCCAGGGGAUGACAGCACGGUUACCAUGGUGACUGAUAUGUCUCAUCAGUGUCGCAUCGUCGAAACGCUCAUCGAUAAGGUCGAAUUCUUCUUCCCUCCCGAUCAAGACCAAGUGGACACUUUACAGCCCAGUUCGCCCACCCAGGUCAGCAACAGUAAUUUGGCUAGCAAUACGGAUGACCGUAAAGAUGCCUACGCCAAAGAAAUCGUGUCGUCCAUCAUCGCAGCAGCGCGAAAGAAGAGACAGACGUCACUGGACAGCCCCGACUUGAGCGAUCGGGGCGAUGCCCCUCCAGCCUUUCCAGUCGUUACUUCGACCACCACCAUUAUUACUAAUAUAGCGACGACUCAAACAAUAGUCGAAGCACUAGUUCCUACCGGCUCCGCUCAUUCUCUAGUCGAGCUUGGCUCCACCGGAGGCCAGCCGGCCUUGCCAGUGGAGGCUUCCGAAUUCCGUUUGAGCUCUGCAGAGAUUCCGUCGACCCCUCCGACGGUAGAAAGGAAGCGAUCGGCGUCGCUUGGAGGCGAAACCGUCAUACCGCCGUCGCCCAGUCUAGCCCUGAAUGACUUGGCCGGAAUUACGGAAAUGGCUGCCGAUGGGCUGGCUCAAGCGUCCGGCACAUCCGAGCCAUUUCGCAGCCGGACGUCGUCGGGAAGUUUUGUCGUCAAUAAACUCCAUCCCAUCGAUGCUGCCGGAAUUCGAAGUUAUUCCGGUUUAAGUGCCGUCACCCAGGAGCGUAUUCGCCUCUUUGAACAGGAAACGAAAGCAAUGUUACAAAGAGACUUGGCCCGUCAAGUGAGAAGAGAGGGCGAACCCGUUCCGCCAUCUGCUGGAGCCCGUCGCCUGGACAAAACUGAGGUAGAGUCUGCAUGGCAUCGAGCCAAAUUAGAAAUGGAAACGGAUGACUUUCUCGACGUUCUGGCCGACAAUCCUUCCGGUUCCUGGAUGUCACUGGGCCCGAUUUAGGUCCAUGCAUACCAAAUGGGGAUUUUAUAUAUACAUAAAAACAAAACACAAACUAAAAUAUAAAACAAAUCGAAAUAGGAAGGGAGCACGUGACUGAUUCGACGGCAACGUUGGACGUCUCCGUCUCUUCGGACCAAGAUAAAAAACCUGAAGAGCAACAAGAGAAGCAGCCCGAAGAAGGAGUUGAAAUCGAUCCAACUGUGGAAACGAUCGCCACCGAUGAAAAACGAUGUCGAGAUACGGAAAAGGAG
rnacentral:misc_RNA from 1 species